AAAGGACGGCUGGAGACUACUGAAAAUACAUAACAAAAAUAUUUCAGCAAAUUUUCGAAUCAUGAAUUUUUUUAGCGAAAAACUAAUUAAUUUUCGACUAAGCACCAUUUGAAAAAUUUUAUUUGGUUUUAAAAAAUGUAAAUGAACAAAGUUAAAUAUUUAAUCUACUUUAUUUGUAAAGUCAGAUUUGGUGGUUGUUAUCAGUCCAAAGUGAUAAUUUUUGAGUAUAUAAAGUUACUGAAAAUUGCAAGGCGACACAAACACAUUUUGGAAACGUAACACAAUGUUGAAAUACUUCAAAGUAGUUGCCUUUGCCGUUGUAGCUUUAAGUAGUCUCAUCAUGACUGCUUAUGCACAAGGACAAGGACAAGGACAAGGACAUAUAGUGGAAUAAAGAUCUUACGCAAGAGUUUUACUCUGAUUUACAGAUACAUCUAGUAUGUAAUAUUACAAUUUGAGCUGAAAUAAUAAACUAUCUGAAAGCAAUAAA